GCGUAGCAUAGUGCUUUGAGCAUUGGACUAGGAUUCUAGAGAACAGGGUUCAAAUCCCUGCUUGGCA